rnacentral:rRNA from 1 species
AUACGUAGGGGGCGAGCGUUGUCCGGAAUGAUUGGGCGUAAAGGGCGCGUAGGCGGCCUGGUAAGUCUGGAGUGAAAGUCCUGUUUUUAAGAUGGGAAUUGCUUUGGAUACUGUCGGGCUUGAGUGCAGGAGAGGUAAGUGGAAUUCCCAGUGUAGCGGUGAAAUGCGUAGAGAUUGGGAGGAACACCAGUGGCGAAGGCGACUUACUGGACUGUAACUGACGCUGAGGCGCGAAAGUGUGGGGAGCAAACAGGAUUAGAUACCCUGGUAGUCCACACUGUAAACGAUGAAUGCUAGGUGUAGGGGGUAUCGACCCCUUCUGUGCCGCAGUCAACACAAUAAGCAUUCCGCCUGGGGAGUACGGCCGCAAGGUUGAAACUCAAAUGAAUUGGCGGGG